GUACCUUUCUCGGCCUUUUGGCUAAGAUCAAGUGUAGUAUCUGUUCUUAUCAGUUUAAUAUCUGAUAUGUGGGCCGAUGGCUCAUACGAUAUUAAAUUUAUUUUUUGAGGGUGAAGUUCCAUCAAAGUAUCUUACUACGUGGGUCCUCAAGCGUCGCCCAUGCAUUGCACUAUUGCACGGGCCUGGCGCAUCCCAC